rnacentral:rRNA from 1 species
UACGUAGGUGGCAAGCGUUGUCCGGAUUUACUGGGCGUAAAGAGCGCGCAGGCGGUCGUUCAAGUCGCGUGUGAAAGCCCCCGGCUCAACUGGGGAGGGUCACGCGAUACUGAUCGACUCGAAGGCAGGAGAGGGUAGUGGAAUUCCCGGUGUAGUGGUGAAAUGCGUAGAUAUCGGGAGGAACACCAGUGGCGAAGGCGGCGACCUGGGCAGAUACUGACACUGAGGUGCGAAAGCGUGGGGAGCAAACAGG